UGUCAUCACAAGGCCACUCUCCACCUUAGAGAUACAGAGCUCCUGGAGACUUCAGCCUGAGUUUCUCAAGCUUGUGUGGAUUUUCUAUGAGUAAAGCCACUGCUUCAUCUUGCCAUGGCCACCAGGUUCCUUUGCUACCUGGUCCUUUGUUUCUUGAGAGCAGAACCAACAAAUGCUGGUGUCAUCCAAACACCUAGACACAAGGUGACAGGGAAGGGACAAGAAGUAACUCUGAGAUGUGAGCCAAUUUCAGGACAUUCUGCUGUUUUCUGGUACAGACAGAGCACUGUGAAGGGACUGGAACUCCUGAUUUACUUUAACAACCAAGCUCCUAUAGAUGAUUCAGGGAUGCCCAAGGAACGAUUCUCAGCUCAGAUGCCCAAUCAGAGGCUCUCCACUCUGAAGAUCCAGACCACACAACCCCAGGACUCUGCAGUGUAUCUUUGUGCCAGCAGCUUAGACACAGAGCUACAGACUCAUAUUCUGCCAAGACAGAAACCAAAUUCUUCCUCUUCCAGGUCCACCUCCAAGAAGCUGUUCUUAACUGUGAUCCUGAGGUUUUUUUUCACAACAGGAAGUAUAUGGGUUUAAUGCUGUUUCUGGCCCUAGACAAGACAGGAACAGAUGGUAAUGAGUAUAACAUUAAGAAGUCUUCUGGUAGAGAAAGGUAUGUGGUGUAUGACGGGCAGGCAAAACUGAUUCAUGGGAUUCCUCAUAUGUUUUUCAUAAAGGUGAGUGAGUCUAUGAUUAAGUGCACAUGUCAUUCAGUGGGCCUUUCAUACAAUUAUGUGAGCUGAAGACUGAGUAGUCAGGCAGAUAUGGAAGAAUGAUCAUCCCUGGUUGCUUUUCAUUGCCGCUUAGACACCAGUUUUCAUCUUCUUUAAAAAAAAGCCAGAUUCCAUGCCACAAGAGGUAGCUCAUGCCUGUCACUGUCUGGAUGUCCAGGAACCAGAAGCUGGAUAGCCCAGAGACCUAGGAUACACUAAACACGAUUGGCAAAACAAAACUCAGUGAAAUGAUUCCUAAUGAUCUGUUAUACUCAUGUAUUAUUGCCUAACCC